UACAUAUUCAAGUAUAGACCAACAAUAGCACUGCAGCGCGUAGUGCAAUAGCAGCUAAAUGAGCGGUAAUUUAACUUUUCACAAUGCUGGGUUUCCACCCUAUAGAAACUGUUUUCUUACAUCCACACAUAGAUUACAUUCUCUUUUUUUUCACACAAUGCAAAUCUCCAAACCACUACUCACUAACAGUAACUUGUAACGUUUCUGGCACUGGAGCUGCUAAUUGCAAUUAGCACACCUGCGCUGCCUCCGCCUCUACCGGCUUAUAAGCUCUGCUCCUCGCAGUCUCCAGUGCCAGAACGUCUCGAGCCUUACGGUGAGAACUUCCAGCCAUCUUCCUGAGUAUCUGUCUGCCUGCCGACCUGUUUUGCCCUUGUUUUUUGAGCCUGCCUGAGCCCUUUUGGAUUUGUCUGCCCGCCUGAGUCCUGUUCGUCAGCCUCAGAGAUUUGGACUGCCCACCUGUGUUUCGGACCCUGCCAGCCUGUAAGUUACGGAGAUUGCUUGCCCCUUUUGACUGUUGUGCUUCUGAAGUUGGAUUUGGAUCUGGACCUGGACUCGUCUCUGGAUUCUCCCUUGGAUACCUCUGCUGGAUAUACGGAUCUCACCCCUGCCCAAGACCCGGACUGGACCUGGACUAAGAACUGGAUAACCCCUUCACGGACCCUGCUGCUUCGUGUAAACCAGACGCUGCUAAACCAGCCGUCCUCGUGCCCCAGGAACCGCCAGAGGCUGUGUGCUGCCGCACAAACCAGGGGGGUCCGCGCCGCCACCAUCUUUAAUAAACUGUUAAAGUUUUA